UGAGUGCUGUUACAUGACAAUUUCACU
rnacentral:piRNA from 1 species